UCAGGACGAACGCUGGCGGCGUGCCUAACACAUGCAAGUCGAACGGAACUAUUUUAAAAGAUUUCUUCGGAAUGAUUUUGGCUUAGUUUAGUGGCGGACGGGUGAGUAACGCGUGAGUAACCCGCCUUCAAGAGGGGGAUAACGUUCUGAAAAGGACGCUAAUACCGCAUAACAUAUCGGAAUCGCAUGGUUCUGAUAUCAAAGAUCUUAUCGCUUGAAGAUGGACUCGCGUCCGAUUAGUUAGUUGGUGAGGUAACGGCUCACCAAGACCGCGAUCGGUAGCCGGACUGAGAGGUUGAACGGCCACAUUGGGACUGAGACACGGCCCAGACUCCUACGGGAGGCAGCAGUGGGGGAUAUUGCGCAAUGGGGGCAACCCUGACGCAGCAACGCCGCGUGAAGGAUGAAGGUUUUCGGAUUGUAAACUUCUUUUCUUAAGGACGAAAAUUGACGGUACUUAAGGAAUAAGCUCCGGCUAACUACGUGCCAGCAGCCGCGGUAAUACGUAGGGAGCAAGCGUUGUCCGGAUUUACUGGGUGUAAAGGGUGCGUAGGCGGCAAUGCAAGUCAGAUGUGAAAUCUAUGGGCUCAACCCAUAAACUGCAUUUGAAACUGCGUUGCUUGAGUGAAGUAGAGGCAGGCGGAAUUCCCCGUGUAGCGGUGAAAUGCGUAGAGAUGGGGAGGAACACCAGUGGCGAAGGCGGCCUGCUGGGCUUUAACUGACGCUGAGGCACGAAAGCGUGGGUAGCAAACAGGAUUAGAUACCCUGGUAGUCCACGCUGUAAACGAUGAUUACUAGGUGUGGGGGGUCUGACCCCUUCCGUGCCGGAGUUAACACAAUAAGUAAUCCACCUGGGGGGUACGGCCGCAAGGUUGCAACUCAAAGGAAUUGACGGA
rnacentral:rRNA from 1 species